AGAGUUUGAUCCUGGCUCAGAUUGAACGCUAGCGGGAUGCUUUACACAUGCAAGUCGAACGGCAGCACGAGAGAGCUUGCUCUCUUGGUGGCGAGUGGCGGACGGGUGAGUAAUAUAUCGGAACGUGCCCAGUAGCGGGGGAUAACUACUCGAAAGAGUGGCUAAUACCGCAUACGCCCUACGGGGGAAAGGGGGGGAUCGCAAGACCUCUCACUAUUGGAGCGGCCGAUAUCGGAUUAGCUAGUUGGUGGGGUAAAGGCUCACCAAGGCAACGAUCCGUAGCUGGUUUGAGAGGACGACCAGCCACACUGGGACUGAGACACGGCCCAGACUCCUACGGGAGGCAGCAGUGGGGAAUUUUGGACAAUGGGGGAAACCCUGAUCCAGCCAUCCCGCGUGUAUGAUGAAGGCCUUCGGGUUGUAAAGUACUUUUGGCAGAGAAGAAAAGGCAUCCCCUAAUACGGGAUGCUGCUGACGGUAUCUGCAGAAUAAGCACCGGCUAACUACGUGCCAGCAGCCGCGGUAAUACGUAGGGUGCAAGCGUUAAUCGGAAUUACUGGGCGUAAAGCGUGUGUAGGCGGUUCGGAAAGAAAGAUGUGAAAUCCCAGGGCUCAACCUUGGAACUGCAUUUUUAACUGCCGAGCUAGAGUAUGUCAGAGGGGGGUAGAAUUCCACGUGUAGCAGUGAAAUGCGUAGAUAUGUGGAGGAAUACCGAUGGCGAAGGCAGCCCCCUGGGAUAAUACUGACGCUCAGACACGAAAGCGUGGGGAGCAAACAGGAUUAGAUACCCCGGUAGUCCACGCCCUAAACGAUGUCAACUAGCUGUUGGGGCCGUUAGGCCUUAGUAGCGCAGCUAACGCGUGAAGUUGACCGCCUGGGGAGUACGGUCGCAAGAUUAAAACUCAAAGGAAUUGACGGGGACCCGCACAAGCGGUGGAUGAUGUGGAUUAAUUCGAUGCAACGCGAAAAACCUUACCUACCCUUGACAUGUCUGGAAUGCCGAAGAGAUUUGGCAGUGCUCGCAAGAGAACCGGAACACAGGUGCUGCAUGGCUGUCGUCAGCUCGUGUCGUGAGAUGUUGGGUUAAGUCCCGCAACGAGCGCAACCCUUGUCAUUAGUUGCUACGCAAGAGCACUCUAAUGAGACUGCCGGUGACAAACCGGAGGAAGGUGGGGAUGACGUCAAGUCCUCAUGGCCCUUAUGGGUAGGGCUUCACACGUCAUACAAUGGUCGGGACAGAGGGUCGCCAACCCGCGAGGGGGAGCCAAUCUCAGAAACCCGAUCGUAGUCCGGAUCGCAGUCUGCAACUCGACUGCGUGAAGUCGGAAUCGCUAGUAAUCGCGGAUCAGAAUGUCGCGGUGAAUACGUUCCCGGGUCUUGCACUCACCGCCCGUCA
rnacentral:rRNA from 1 species